rnacentral:rRNA from 1 species
CCUACGGGAGGCAGCAGUGGGGAAUAUUGCACAAUGGGGGAAACCCUGAUGCAGCGACGCCGCGUGGGUGAAGAAGUAAUUCGUUAUGUAAAGCUCUAUCAGCAGGGAAGAAAAUGACGGUACCUGAGUAAGAAGCCCCGGCUAACUACGUGCCAGCAGCCGCGGUAAUACGUAGGGGGCAAGCGUUAUCCGGAUUUACUGGGUGUAAAGGGAGCGUAGACGGCAGUGCAAGUCUGGAGUGAAAGGCGGGGGCUCAACCCCCGGACUGCUCUGGAAACUGUACGGCUGGAGUGCAGGAGAGGUAAGUGGAAUUCCUUGUGGAGCGGUGAAAUGCGGAGAUAAAGGGAGGAACACCAGUGGCGAAGGCGACGAUCUGGCCUGCAACGGACGCUCAGUCCCGAAAGCGUGGGGAGAAAAUAGGAUGAGAUACCCCAGUAGUC